rnacentral:rRNA from 1 species
AAAGUCGUAACAAGGUUUCCGUAGGUGAACCUGCGGAAGGAUCAUUACCGUUACUCUGUGUCUUGCACACACUGUAAACCACUGUGAACUGUUCCGAGCUUGUGGGGUGGUUCUUCUUUGCAGGAGAAUCUCAAAUGCAGUUAGACAGCCGAGGCUGGCUGCUGCGGCCCCACAUGUCUGUCUCUUAUGUUUUUCAAAACACUCGUCAAUUCAUUCCAGUUGAAUAGUAUCACUCUGGCCAGUCCAGUUUGAUACACAGUUUAAACACAUGACAACUUCUAACGGUGGAUCUCUUGGCUCGUGCAUCGAUGAAGAACGUAGCCAGUUGCGAUAAGUAGUGUGAAUUGCAGAAUUCAGUGAAUCAUCGAAUCUUUGAACGCAAAUUGCGCUCUCUGGAUAUCCAGGGAGCAUGCCUGUCUGAGUGUCGUGAUAAAAACUACACACCCCUGGUGUGGCAUGUGGGUAUCGAGUUUGCAGAUUGCUCAGGCGUUCUGUACUAAACUCGUCCUGCGAAGUGCGUGAACCUGAAUGUGCUGCUGACUGCAUGUGCAUUGGGAAGGCUCAACUUGCUUCUGUCUUUCCCUCUGCGUUCUCAUGCCAGCAGUAUCAUUGUAGAUGGUGAACAAGACGGUGUCCCACCCAUGGGGCGGGCACGAUGUCAAUUUCUGAUUUUGACCUCAGAUCAGACAAGACUACCCGCUGAAUUUAAGCAUAUCAAUA